rnacentral:rRNA from 1 species
AGGCCAGCUUGGCGUUGGUUGUCCAAGUUUAAGGUGGUAGGCUGAAAUCUUAGGCAAAUCCGGGGUUUCAAGGCCGAGAGCUGAUGACGAGUCGUCUUUUAGAUGACGAAGUGGUUGAUGCCAUGCUUCCAAGAAAAGCUUCUAAGCUUCAGGUAACCAGGAACCGUACCCCAAACCGACACAGGUGGUCGGGUAGAGAAUACCAAGGCGCUUGAGAGAACUCGGGUGAAGGAACUAGGCAAAAUGGCACCGUAACUUCGGGAGAGGGUGCGCCGGCUAGGGUGAAGGAUUUACUCCGUAAGCUCUGGCUGGUCGAAGAUACCAGGCCGCUGCGACUGUUUAUUAAAAACACAGCACUCUGCAAACACGAAAGUGGACGUAUAGGGUGUGACGCCUGCCCGGUGCCGGAAGGUUAAUUGAUGGGGUUAGCGCAAGCGAAGCUCUUGAUCGAAGCCCCGGUAAACGGCGGCCGUAACGAUAACGGUCCUAAGGUAGCGAAAUUCCUUGUCGGGUAAGUUCCGACCUGCACGAAUGGCGUAACGAUGGCGGCGCUGUCUUCACCCGAGACUCAGUGAAAUUGAAAUCGCUGUGAAGAUGCAGUGUAUCCGCGGCUAGACGGAAAGACCCCGUGAACCUUUACUGUAGCUUUGCACUGGACUUUGAGCCUGCUUGUGUAGGAUAGGUGGGAGGCUUUGAAGCGUGGACGCCAGUUCGCGUGGAGCCAUCCUUGAAAUACCACCCUGGCAUGCUUGAGGUUCUAACUCUGGUCCGUAAUCCGGAUCGAGGACAGUGUAUGGUGGGCAGUUUGACUGGGGCGGUCUCCUCCUAAAGAGUAACGGAGGAGUACGAAGGUGCGCUCAGACCGGUCGGAAAUCGGUCGCAGAGUAUAAAGGCAAAAGCGCGCUUGACUGCGAGACAGACACGUCGAGCAGGUACGAAAGUAGGUCUUAGUGAUCCGGUGGUUCUGUAUGGAAGGGCCAUCGCUCAACGGAUAAAAGGUACUCCGGGGAUAACAGGCUGAUACCGCCCAAGAGUUCAUAUCGACGGCGGUGUUUGGCACCUCGAUGUCGGCUCAUCACAUCCUGGGGCUGAAGCCGGUCCCAAGGGUAUGGCUGUUCGCCAUUUAAAGUGGUACGCGAGCUGGGUUUAGAACGUCGUGAGACAGUUCGGUCCCUAUCUGCCGUGGACGUUUGAGAUUUGAGAGGGGCUGCUCCUAGUACGAGAGGACCGGAGUGGACGCACCUCUGGUGUUCCGGUUGUCACGCCAGUGGCAUUGCCGGGUAGCUAUGUUCGGAAAAGAUAACCGCUGAAAGCAUCUAAGCGGGAAACUUGCCUCAAGAUGAGAUCUCACUGGGAACUUGAUUCCCCUGAAGGGCCGUCGAAGACUACGACGUUGAUAGGCUGG